rnacentral:sRNA from 1 species
CCAAUGGUCGUUUUCUUUAUUUCUAUUAUUAUAGAAUUGAGUAAAUAAAUUACUCAGCAUUUGUUGCUCAUUAUUUAAUUGAGCUUUAUCUUUGGUUUCAUUUCUAUUUUAAUAUGUUGUUUCGCCAAACAAAUUCAGUUCAAGUAUGAAUAGCCUUUGAUUGAUGCCACUAAACCAAACCAAUUUUGCAGAUCCCACUGUCGCCCUUGCAUUCGCAUACCCGGGAUCGAGAGAUGGUUUCUAAGGUCACGCUAAACAGUCUUUUUCAGUACACUUUGAUUUUCAACAAUGUGACAUAGCUCUUCUAAGUGUAGGGCAUUAAUUUACUAGCAAAUUGAGACGUAUCUUGUAGCCGUCUACAAUGACAACCGGACACGGCACAAAGGACACAAACGUCUACUGUAUCAAAUAAUAACCAAAUUUACAUAAACGCGAUUGCCACUCCAUAUAGGUUACACAUGCAGCACACAAUUUAAACAGCUCGAGAUCGGUCGGCAUAUAAUCAUGAUCGAACGUAAUUGUGGUUGAAUGUUUAGCAGGCAAUAUGGCUAGACCUGCUUAUAAAUUUCUAGGAUUGGUAAAUUCGACGGUACCUCGCUCAGUGAUGGGCGUUGCAGUUAGCGUCGUGUACGCUAAAUGAAUGCGAUCCAUAAAUGUUUGAAAACGAAGCUCAACACAUACUUGAUUAUCAGUUUAAACGCCAAAUGUCGCUCGUUAAAACUUGGAGAAGGACCCUACUAAGUUGUUAGUCGGAAAAUCGGAAACAUUCUUUGUGAAAUAGUAGUUGUAAUUCUUAACUAGUAUUACAGAUUGGUUACAGAGAGCAGACAUUAAAUUGAUAUGAUUUAUUAAUAAAUACGCCAAUAAAUUGCCUAAUUAAUGGGCGAAUUCUAAAUA